rnacentral:lncRNA from 1 species
AGAUCAACUACCAUCUUCAACAGUGUCAGAAUGCCCCCAUACUGAUCAACAAACCCCUUCUGAUUACCACUGGUCACAAGGUUGCUCAACUCUAUCAGAGACGUCAAAGGCUCACGAUGAAAGCUGUAGGAGCAAGUCUUCCGCUUCAACUCUGGGACGGUUGCCAUCUCUAUCGGUGAACAGACUCCGGAAUGAACCUGAGAAAUGAUAUGCAUGCAGAGAUUAGCUUUUCUUUUCUUUUCCUUUUUUUU